GCACUAUAGUGUAGUUGGUUAACACGUCGACGUAGAGUGCCGAAGUCCCUGGUUCGAGUCCGGCCGGUAUGCA
rnacentral:tRNA from 1 species